UUAAACCUAAACCCAAAACCAUAGUCCCUAAACUUUAUAACCAAAAUCCUGCUUUAGCUUCUGGAAGCCGGUUGCGGUUCUAGUUCUUAUGCUCAACGAUACACAAAACAUCUAGUCAUAUUUGGCUAUAAAUCCGCUAACCAAGCCACUUCUUGAUUCUCAAAGCUUUGAUGGUGAAGUCAAAGAU
rnacentral:sRNA from 1 species